GGAUAGUUGAGAAUUCAAUUAACAUAAGAGAAAGUGAUUUAUUGGAUUAGAGACACAGGAAAAUCAGCUUUCAACUCAAAAGUAGCAAACAAUUAUGGUUACCAGUUAAAAGCAAUGGUCCUUUCGUACGGCUAGAAAUGGCAACUCGGUUAUCAAACUUGAAAAACAUCAAUAUAUUUAUUCUAUACUUUCCUGGAAAAAUGCAACAAUCCAGAUGCUUGGUUUUUAAAAUU
rnacentral:misc_RNA from 1 species